rnacentral:rRNA from 1 species
UACAGAGGGUGCGAGCGUUGUCCGGAAUCACUGGGCGUAAAGGGCGCGUAGGUGGCGACCCAAGUCAAUGGUGAAAGCUCGUCGCUCAACGACGAGUCGGCCACUGAUACUGGGUUGCUUGAGCACUGUAGAGGCUAAUGGAAUUCCGGGUGUAGCGGUGGAAUGCGUAGAGAUCCGGAAGAACACCGGUGGCGAAGGCGGUUAGCUGGGCAGUUGCUGACACUGAGGCGCGACAGCGUGGGGAGCAAACAGG